UGCAUCCGGGGAGCUUGCGCAGCAGGCUGAGAGGAGACGUAAUGCCGUCUCGACCCGCUAACCUGAUACGGAUAAUGCCGGCGGAGGGAGCUUU
rnacentral:ncRNA from 1 species